rnacentral:rRNA from 1 species
UACGUAGGUGACCAGCGUUGUCCGGAUUUACUGGGCGUAAAGAGCGCGCAGGCGGUCGUUCAAGUCGAGUGUGAAAGCCCCCGGCUCAACUGGGGAGGGUCACUCGAUACUGAUCGACUUGAAGGCAGGAGAGGGAAGCGGAAUUCCCGGUGUAGUGGUGAAAUGCGUAGAUAUUACAUAGAACACCGAUAGCGAAGGCAGCUUGCUACACGAGUAUUGACACUGAGGCACGAAAGCGUGGGGAUCAAACAGG